AUUGAACGCUGGCGGCAUGCCUUACACAUGCAAGUCGAACGGUAACGGGCCUUCGGGUGCCGACGAGUGGCGAACGGGUGAGUAAUACAUCGGAACGUGCCCGAUCGUGGGGGAUAACGAGGCGAAAGCUUUGCUAAUACCGCAUACGAUCUACGGAUGAAAGCAGGGGACCGCAAGGCCUUGCGCGGACGGAGCGGCCGAUGGCAGAUUAGGUAGUUGGUGGGAUAAAAGCUUACCAAGCCGACGAUCUGUAGCUGGUCUGAGAGGAUGAGCAGCCACACUGGGACUGAGACACGGCCCAGACUCCUACGGGAGGCAGCAGUGGGGAAUUUUGGACAAUGGGCGCAAGCCUGAUCCAGCCAUGCCGCGUGCAGGAUGAAGGCCUUCGGGUUGUAAACUGCUUUUGUACGGAACGAAAAGCCUUCUUUUAAUACAGGAGGGUCAUGACGGUACCGUAAGAAUAAGCACCGGCUAACUACGUG
rnacentral:rRNA from 1 species